rnacentral:lncRNA from 1 species
UGUUCCAGCUAUAAGUACAAGCGUGUGAAGGCUUCCCAAAGCCCAAUAAAUAGAGGUCCUCACCUCUAGUUUGUAAGCAGACUAUGUACCCACUACCUAUAAUAGAACGGUUGUUCUUCUUAUCUAAGAUCCUGGACUAGAUCUUGUGCUCUAGGAGUUUUGAAUUGAACUCCUGCUGCCAUAUCAGCCCUAUCUCCGCCUCUAGACGAUAUCUAGCACAGCACGUUGAGGUUGUUCCUUCAACACUUGUGUUGUACGGAGUUGCUCCUCCACAACCUUGUGCUGCUUCACUGAGCUGUGAGAAUGACCACACAAGGACAUUAACUAUUAACCUGCUUAAUGCAGUUGCACAUGGCAAGCACCACGAACAGAGGGCUAAGAAACCAUUUAGAAGCAGAGGUGAGGAACAAAGCCAAUAAUUUCAGGACGAACUUGAUGAUUUAUUCUUUAGAAGCAAUCACAAUGAAAGUGGUUUGAAAUGUUUUAGUGUCGCAAAUAUCUUGAUGAUGCAACCAGAAAAAACAGAACAUCAAGAAAUUGCCAGGAAAUGGGAAUAUAUUUUCCUAUUAAUACAAAAUGUGUACUGUCAGGGCCUCCCCUACAGUCUUUCAUUAACAAAAUUGUACUCCCUCCGUCCCAAAAUAAGUGUCGCUGCUUUAUUACUAAAUUUAUACUAACUUAAUACUAAGUUUGCGACACUUAUUUUGGGACGGAGGGAGUAUUACAGAACUGGUGCUCAAUUGCAGAAUAAGAGAAGGAGCAUGUAUUUCCAUUAGGUGAAUGUUAAGUAAUGCUCUGAAUUAAAUAAGAAGUGCUCACAAAAUGCUCGUGUGCAAAUCAAAUGAUGAAAUUCAAGCCAUCAACAAAUUCAUAUUGCAGAAAACCAAUUGGUACCACACAAUUUUGAAGAGGAA